rnacentral:rRNA from 1 species
UACGGGGGGGCAAGCGUUGUUCGGAAUUACUGGGCGUAAAGGGCUCGUAGGUGGCCAACUAAGUCGGACGUGAAAUCCCUCAGCUUAACUGGGGAACUGCGUCCGAUACUGGAUGGCUCGAGUUUGGGAGAGGGAUGCGGAAUUCCAGGUGUAGCGGUGAAAUGCGUAGAUAUCUGGAGGAACACCGGUGGCGAAGGCGGCAUUCUGGACCGACAUUGACGCUGAGGAGCGAAAGCCAGGGGAGCAAACGGG